rnacentral:lncRNA from 1 species
AGCCUCCUGUGGCCUCCUAACCUCACUGAGCCCUAUUACAUCCCAUUUAACACCCUCUAAUUCCUCGAAUAGUACAGCUAGACUCGCCUCACUAGAUAAAGUUCUAGCAUUAUACGUUGCCAAGUUCAGAUUCGAAUGGCGGCCUGUCCGAACCCAGAGAUUCUUGGCACCCUCUGCUGUGUCGCAGGUCUGACCGCUGCCUUGGCGAGUUGCUUCGCAGCCGCUGGGGACUGAGGGCCGAGGGUUAAUUGGUGUAUUCAUGUGGGAGGUAGUGGCCAAGUACUACACCAGGGUGGCCAAUCCUGCUCUGGUGAGGGAGUGCAUUGCUGGCUGUGGUCGCCAGUGAGGCUGCACCCCAGGCCUUGUCAGCUUUGCAUUAAGUCGCAGGCUCCACUUCUGGUGGUGCCCUUUUGUCAAUUCCUUUAAGUUUCAGCUUUGCAACCAUACUUCCCCCGGAAGCCAAAUACUUUGGUUUCCCGGAAGCUGCCCGCCGAGUCAUUUGAGUAACUCGGGCGGAUCACUGGUUGGCACGGUUUUGUGUAGA